CCCAGCUGCAGGCAACUGCUUAGGUUGCCUUCUACCUAGGUGAGUGUUCCACUGCUGAGAGAAAAGCAGCUAAUAGCUGGCAGAUAUCCUGAGCCUGGUUAAUGCCAAGUAUGUGUUAAC
ensembl:snoRNA SNORA74 Small nucleolar RNA SNORA74